rnacentral:rRNA from 1 species
AAUAGAUACCCAGGUAGUCCACGCCGUAAACGAUGAGUGCUAAGUGUUAGGGGGUUUCCGCCCCUUAGUGCUGCAGCUAACGCAUUAAGCACUCCGCCUGGGGAGUACGGUCGCAAGACUGAAACUCAAAGGAAUUGACGGGGGCCCGCACAAGCGGUGGAGCAUGUGGUUUAAUUCGAAGCAACGCGAAGAACCUUACCAGGUCUUGACAUCCCGUUGACCACUGUAGAGAUAUAGUUUCCCCCUUCGGGGGCAACGGUGACAGGUGGUGCAUGGUUGUCGUCAGCUCGUGUCGUGAGAUGUUGGGUUAAGUCCCGCAACGAACGCAACCCUUGAUCUUAGUUGCCAUCAUUUAGUUAGGCACUCUAAGGUGACUGCCGGUGACAAACCGGAGGAAGGUGGGGAUGACGUCAAAUCAUCAUGCCCCUUAUGACCUGGGCUACACACGUGCUACAAUGGACGAUACAAACGGUUGCCAACUCGCGAGAGGGAGCUAAUCCGAUAAAGUCGUUCUCAGUUCGGAUUGUAGGCUGCAACUCGCCUA